GACGUAGGCGCGAGCGUUGUCCGGAUUUAUUGGGCGUAAAGAGCUCGUAGGCGGUGUGUCGCGUCGGCCGUGAAAACCUGCAGCUUAACUGUGGGCUUGCGGUCGAUACGGGCAUCACUGGAGUUCGGCAGGGGAGACUGGAAUUCCUGGUGUAGCGGUGAAAUGCGCAGAUAUCAGGAGGAACACCGGUGGCGAAGGCGGGUCUCUGGGCAGUGAACUGACGCUGAGGCGCGAAAGCGUGGGGAGCGAACGGG
rnacentral:rRNA from 1 species